rnacentral:rRNA from 1 species
CCUACGGGCGGCAGCAGUGAGGAAUAUUGGUCAAUGGACGGAAGUCUGAACCAGCCAUGCUGCGUGCAGGAAGACGGCUCUAUGAGUUGUAAACUGCUUUUGUACGAGGGUAAACGUAAAUACGUGUAUUCGCCUGAAAGUAUUGUACGAAUAAGGAUCCGCUAACUCCGUGCCAGCAGCCGCGGUAAUACGGAGGAUCCAAGCGUUAUCCGGAUUUAUUGGGUUUAAAGGGUGCGUAGGCGGAAGGAUAAGUUAGAGGUGAAAUGCCCGGGCUAAACUCGGGAAUUGCCUCUGAUACUGUUGAGCUAGAGAGUAGAUGCGGUAGGCGGAAUGUAUGGUGUAGCGGUGAAAUGCUUAGAGAUCAUACAGAACACCGAUUGCGAAGGCAGCUUACCAAGCUAUUUCUGACGUUGAGGCACGAAAGCGUGGGGAGCAAACAGGAUUAGAUACCCGAGUAGUC